rnacentral:rRNA from 1 species
AUGAACGCUAAGCGGCAGGCUUAAUACAUGCAAGUCGAGGGGCAGCACGAGUAGCAAUACUUGGUGGCGACCGGCGCACGGGUGCGUAACACGUAUGCAAUCUACCUUUAACUGAAGAACAGCCCGAAGAAAUUCGGAUUAAUACUUCAUAGUUUUAUGAAAUGGCAUCAUUUUUAUAAAUAAAGCUCCGGCGGUUAAAGAUGAGCAUGCGCGACAUUAGCUAGUUGGUGAGGUAACGGCUCACCAAGGCUACGAUGUCUAGGGGAUCUGAGAGGAUUAACCCCCACACUGGUACUGAGACACGGACCAGACUCCUACGGGAGGCAGCAGUAAGGAAUAUUGGUCAAUGGACGCAAGUCUGAACCAGCCAUGCCCGCGUGCAGGAUGAAGGCCCUAUGGGUUGUAAACUGCUUUUAUUACGGGAAAAAAACCCUUGCUCGUGAGCGAGGCUGAUGGUACCGUAAGAAUAAGGGAUCGGCUAACUCCGUGCCAGCAGCCGCGGUAAUACGGAGGAUCCAAGCGUUAUCCGGAUUCAUUGGGUUUAAAAGGGUGCGUAGGCGGGAUAGUAAAGUCAGUGGUGAAAGCCUGCAGCUUAACUGCAGAACUGCCAUUGAUACUGCUAAACCUAGAGUACAGCUGAUGUGGGCGGAAUGUGUCGUGUAGCGGUGAAAUGCUUAGAUAUGACACAGAACACCGAUUGCGAAGGCAGCUCACAAAAACUGUAACUGACGCUGAGGCACGAAAGCGUGGGGGAUCGAACAGGAUUAGAUACCCUGGUAGUCCACGCUGUAAACGAUGAUCACUCGAUGUUGGCGAUAUACUGUCAGCGUCCAAGCGAAAGCGAUAAGUGUUCCACCUGGGGAGUACGAUCGCAAGAUUGAAACUCAAAGGAAUUGACGGGGGCCCGCACAAGCGGAGGAGCAUGUGGUUUUAAUAUUCGAUGAUACGCGAGGAAACCUUACCAGGGCUUGAAAAGUUAGCGACGGUCCGUGAAAGCGGACUUCCCUUCGGGGGCGCGAAACUAGGUGCUGCAUGGCUGUCGUCAGCUCGUGCCGUGAGGUGUUGGGUUUAAGUCCCGCAACGAGCGCAACCCCUAUUCAUUCAGUUGCCAACACGGUUAUGGCUGGGGACUCUAAUGAAAACUGCCCGCCGUAAGGCGGUGAGGAAGGAGGGGAUGACGUCAAGUCAGCACUGGCCCUUUAAUGUCCCUGGGCUACACACGUGCUACAAUGGCAAAUACAAUGGGCUGCUACACCUAGUACAGUGAUGCAAAUCUCUAAAAGCUCUUGUCUCAGUUCAGAUUGUAGGUCUGCAACUCGACCUACAUGAAGCUGGAUCGCUAGUAAUCGCGCUAUCAGCAAUGAUCCGGUGAAUACGUUUCCCGGGACCUUGUACACACCGCCCGUCAAGCCAUGGAAAACUGGGGUGUACCCUAAAAAAAUCUGUGAGAACCAGCAAGGACGCCGGUGCCUAAGGUUAAAAAC